AAUGGGCGCAAGCCUGAUCUAGCCAUGCCGCGUGAGUGAAGAAGGCCUUAGGGUCGUAAAGCUCUUUCGCCAGGGAUGAUAAUGACAGUACCUGGUAAAGAAACCCCGGCUAACUCCGUGCCAGCAGCCGCGGUAAUACGGAGGGGGUUAGCGUUGUUCGGAAUUACUGGGCGUAAAGCGCACGUAGGCGGAUUAGAAAGUUAGAGGUGAAAUCCCAGGGCUCAACCCUGGAACUGCCUUUAAAACUCCUAGUCUUGAGUUCGAGAGAGGUGAGUGGAAUUCCAAGUGUAGAGGUGAAAUUCGUAGAUAUUUGGAGGAACACCAGUGGCGAAGGCGGCUCACUGGCUCGAUACUGACGCUGAGGUGCGAAAGUGUGGGGAGCAAACAGGAUU
rnacentral:rRNA from 1 species